GCGGCCGUGACCCUGCUGGAGUGUGGGGGGGACCUCCAGCCCCCCGGGGGAUCCCUGCGCCUCCUCUGCCGAGCACCCGGGAUCGAUUUUGGGAUUAUUGUGAUGGCCUGGAUCCGCCAGAGACCCGGGCAGGCGCUGGAGUUCAUUGCAGAUAUCAGCACCACUGGCAGCACAAGCUACGCGGAUUCGGUCAAGGGCCGGUUCACGAUCUCUAAGGACAACGGGCAGAGUUUGAUGACACUGACCAUGAACAACCUCAAGGACGAGGAUUCCGGAUACUAUUUCUGUGCCAAAUAUGCUUAUACUCCUGAUGGUACUUAUGGUGUUGCUUCUGUUGACGUGCCGGGCUUGGCCCCAUUCCCCAACCAGCACUGCAGGAGCAUCCGGGAGCAGGACGAAUAUUCUCAUUCUCACUAA